AGGGUGCAGGGCGGAUGCCUUGGCACUAGGAGCCGAUGAAGGACGUGAUAAGCUGCGAUAAGCUUCGGGGAGUUGCACGUAAACUUUGAUCCGAAGAUUUCCGAAUGAGGAAACUCACUUAGAGUAAUGUCUAAGUAUCAUUAAGUGAAUACAUAGCUUAAUGAGGGGAACUCAGGGAACUGAAACAUCUAAGUACCUGAAGGAAGAGAAAGAAAUUCGAUUCCGUAAGUAGCGGCGAGCGAACGCGGAUUAGCCCAAACCAAUAAAGUUUUCUUUAUUGGGGUUGCGGACAUAUCAUAACGAAGAGGUAUCGUAAUUGAAGAGGUUUGGAAAGACCCACCACAGAAGGUAAUAGUCCUGUAUGUUAAACGAGAAGACUUCAGAUAUGAUCCAGAGUACCACGGGACACGUGAAACCCUGUGGGAAGCAGGAGGGACCACCCUCCAAGGCUAAAUACUACCUAGUGACCGAUAGCGUAUAGUACCGUGAGGGAAAGGUGAAAAGAACCCCGGGAGGGGAGUGAAAUAGAACCUGAAACCCUGCACUUACAAGCUGUGGAAGCACAUUUCUUGUGUGACCGCGUACUUUUUGUAGAACGGGCCAACGAGUUACGUUAAGUAGCAAGGUUAAGCACUUAAGGUGUGGAGCCGUAGCGAAAGCGAGUUUUAACUGAGCGUUCAGUUACUUGACGUAGACCCGAAACCGGGCGACCUACCCAUGAGCAGGAUGAAGCGAAAGUAAAAUUUCGUGGAGGUCCGAACCCACGAGCGUUGAAAAGCUCGGGGAUGACUUGUGGGUAGCGGUGAAAUUCCAAUCGAGCCCGGAGAUAGCUGGUUCUCCCCGAAAUAGCUUUAGGGCUAGCCUCAAGGUGAGAGAUACGGAGGUAGAGCACUGAAUGUCCUAGGGGGUAUUGCACCUACCGAAGACUAUCAAACUCCGAAUGCCGUCAUCUUAUACUUGGGAGUCAGACUGUGGGUGAUAAGAUUCAUAGUCGAAAGGGCAACAGCCCAGAUCGUCAGCUAAGGUCCCUAAAUGUAAGUUAAGUGGUAAAGGAUGUGGGAUUGCACAGACAACCAGGAUGUUGGCUUAGAAGCAGCCACUCAUUCAAAGAGUGCGUAAUAGCUCACUGGUCGAGUGAUCCUGCGCCGAAGAUUUCCGGGGCUAAAACUUACUACCGAAGCUACGGCAUCAGUAAUGAUGGGUAGGGGAGCUUCCCAUACGGGUUGAAGCAUGACCGUAAGGACAUGUGGACAGUAUGGGAGUGAGAAUGUUGGCAUGAGUAGCGAGAUGUGGGUGAGAAUCCCACAGGCCGUAAACCCAAGGUUUCCAGGGGAAGGUUCGUCCGCCCUGGGUUAGUCGGGACCUAAGCUGAGGCCGAAAGGCGUAGGUGAUGGACAACAGGUUGAUAUUCCUGUACUACCGAUAACCGUUUGAGAGAAGGGAUGACACAGUAGGAUAAGCUAAGCACACUGUUGGUUAUGUGUGCCCAAGCAUUGAGGCAGUCAAAGUAGGCAAAUCCGCUUUGAUAAUGCUGGGAUGUGAUGGGGAGCGAAAUUUAGUAGCGAAGUAGCUGAUUUCACACUGUCAAGAAAAGUCUCUAUCGAGGUUAAAGGUACCCGUACCGCAAACCGACACAGGUGGGUGAGGAGAGUAUCCUAAGGCCAGCGAGAGAACUGUUGUUAAGGAACUCGGCAAAAUGACCCCGUAACUUAGGGAUAAGGGGUGCCACCAUCAGGUGGCCGCAGAGAAUAGGCCCAAGCGACUGUUUACCAAAAACAUAGGUUUCUGCUAAGUCGCAAGACGAUGUAUAGGAGCUGACGCCUGCCCGGUGCUGGAAGGUUAAGGGGAUCUGUUAGAGCAAUCGAAGCAGUGAACUUAAGCCCCAGUAAACGGCGGCCGUAACUAUAACGGUCCUAAGGUAGCGAAAUUCCUUGUCGGGUAAGUUCCGACCCGCACGAAAGGCGUAACGAUUUGGGCACUGUCUCAACAACAGACUCGGUGAAAUUGUAAUUCCGGUGAAGAUGCCGGAUACCUGCGACAGGACGGAAAGACCCCAUGGAGCUUUACUGUAGCUUGACAUUGGGUUUUGGUACUACAUGUACAGGAUAGGUGGGAGGCUUUGAAACCAGGACGCCAGUUUUGGCGGAGCCAUCCUUGGGAUACCACCCUUGUAGUACUGGGACUCUAACCAUAGGCCAUGAAUCUGGUCUUGGGACACUGUCAGGUGGGCAGUUUGACUGGGGCGGUCGCCUCCCAAAAGGUAACGGAGGCGCUCAAAGGUUCUCUCAGUACGGUCGGAAAUCGUACGUAGAGUGUAAAGGCAAAAGAGAGCUUGAUUGCAAGACAUACAGGUCGAGCAAGGAUGAAAAUCGGACUUAGUGAUCCGGUGGUUCUGCGUGGAAGGGCCAUCGCUCAACGGAUAAAAGCUACCCUGGGGAUAACAGGCUUAUCUCCCCCAAGAGUCCACAUCGACGGGGAGGUUUGGCACCUCGAUGUCGGCUCAUCACAUCCUGGGGCUGUAGUAGGUCCCAAGGGUUGGGCUGUUCGCCCAUUAAAGUGGUACGCGAGCUGGGUUCAGAACGUCGUGAGACAGUUCGGUCCCUAUCCGUCGCAGGCGUAGGAAAUUUGAGAAGACCUGUCCUUAGUACGAGAGGACCGGGAUGGACGUACCUCUGGUGUACCAGUUGUUCUGCCAAGGGCAUGGCUGGGUAGCUAUGUACGGAAUGGAUAAGCGCUGAAAGCAUCUAAGCGCGAAGCCAACUUCAAGAUAAGAUUUCCCACCGUAAGGGUAAGACCCCAGAAAGACUAUCUGGUUGA
rnacentral:rRNA from 1 species